rnacentral:rRNA from 1 species
GACGAACGCUGGCGGCGUGCUUAACACAUGCAAGUCGAGCGGUAAGGCCCUUUCGGGGGUACACGAGCGGCGAACGGGUGAGUAACACGUGGGUGACCUGCCCUCAGCUCUGGGAUAAGCCUGGGAAACCGGGUCUAAUACUGGAUAUGACUCCAUGACGCAUGUUGUGGGGUGGAAAGCCUUGUGCGGCUGAGGAUGGGCCCGCGGCCUAUCAGCUUGUUGGUGGGGUGANGGCCUACCAAGGCGACGACGGGUAGCCGGCCUGAGAGGGCGACCGGCCACACUGGGACUGAGACACGGCCCAGACUCCUACGGGAGGCAGCAGGUGGGGAAUCUUGCGCAAGUGGGCGAAAGCCUGGCGCAGCGACGCCGCGUGAGGGAUGACGGCCU